AGAGUUUGAUUAUGGCUCAGGAUGAACGCUAGCGGCAGGCCUAACACAUGCAAGUCGAGGGGCAGCACAGGUAGCAAUACUGGGUGGCGACCGGCGCACGGGUGCGUAACACGUAUGCAACCUACCUUGAACCGGGGAAUAACCCGAAGAAAUUCGGACUAAUACCCCAUGGCCCUUAGGGAUGGCAUCAUUUCUAAGGUAAAGAUUUAUCAGUUCAAGAUGGGCAUGCGUCCUAUUAGCCAGUUGGCGGGGUAACGGCCCACCAAAGCUACGAUAGGUAGGGGUUCUGAGAGGAAGGUCCCCCACACUGGUACUGAGACACGGACCAGACUCCUACGGGAGGCAGCAGUGAGGAAUAUUGGUCAAUGGGCGCAAGCCUGAACCAGCCAUGCCGCGUGCAGGAUGACGGCCCUACGGGUUGUAAACUGCUUUUGUACGAGGGCAAACCCUUCCUUGCGAGGAAGGUUGAGAGUAUCGUACGAAUAAGGAUCGGCUAACUCCGUGCCAGCAGCCGCGGUAAUACGGAGGAUCCGAGCGUUAUCCGGAUUUAUUGGGUUUAAAGGGUGCGUAGGCGGCUUGGCAAGUCAGCGGUGAAAUGGCGGGGCUCAACCCCACCAGUGCCGUUGAUACUACCGAGCUUGAGUACGGGUGAAGCUGGCGGAAUGUGCAGUGUAGCGGUGAAAUGCAUAGAUAUUGCACAGAAGGCCGAUUGCGAAGGCAGCUGGCUAACCCGGAACUGACGCUGAGGCACGAAAGCGUGGGGAUCAAACAGGAUUAGAUACCCUGGUAGUCCACGCCGUAAACGAUGAUAGCUCGCUGCCGGCGAUACACAGUCGGUGGCUUAGCGAAAGCGGUAAGCUAUCCACCUGGGGAGUACGGCCGCAAGGCUGAAACUCAAAGGAAUUGACGGGGGCCCGCACAAGCGGAGGAACAUGUGGUUUAAUUCGAUGAUACGCGAGGAACCUUACCCGGGCUCGAACGGCUAGUGAAUAUGGAGGAAACUUCAUAGCUAGCAUAGCA
rnacentral:rRNA from 1 species